UACGUAGGGUGCAAGCGUUGUCCGGAAUUAUUGGGCGUAAAGAGCUCGUAGGCGGUUUGUUGCGUCGGCUGUGAAAUCCCGAGGCUCAACCUCGGGUCUGCAGUCGAUACGAGCAAACUAGAGUGUUGCAGGGGAGAAUGGAAUUCCUGGUGUAGCGGUGGAAUGCGCAGAUAUCAGGAGGAACACCGAUGGCGAAGGCAGUUCUCUGGGCCGUAACUGACGCUGAGGAGCGAAAGCGUGGGGAGCGAACAGG
rnacentral:rRNA from 1 species